rnacentral:rRNA from 1 species
CACGUAGGCGGCUUUGUAAGUUAGAGGUGAAAGCCCAGGGCUUAACCCUGGAAUUGCCUUUAAGACUGCAUCGCUAGAAUCGUGGAGAGGUAAGUGGAAUUCCGAGUGUAGAGGUGAAAUUCGUAGAUAUUCGGAAGAACACCAGUGGCGAAGGCGACUUACUGGACACGUAUUGACGCUGAGGUGCGAAAGCGUGGGGAGCAAACA